GGCCAAGUUUUUAAGGGCGCACGGUGGAUGCCUUGGCACCAGGAACCGAUGAAGGACGUGGGAGGCCGCGAUAGGCCCCGGGGAGCUGUCAACCGAGCUGUGAUCCGGGGGUGUCCGAAUGGGGAAACCCGGCAGUCGUCAUGGGCUGUCACCCAUGCCUGAACACAUAGGGCAUGUGGAGGGAACGCGGGGAAGUGAAACAUCUCAGUACCCGCAGGAAGAGAAAACAACCGUGAUUCCGGGAGUAGUGGCGAGCGAAACCGGAUGAGGCUAAACCGUAUGUGUGUGAUACCCGGCAGGGGUUGCGCAUACGGGGUCGUGGGAGUGCACUUGAUCAGUCUGCCGGCUGGUCGGCGAGUCAGAAACCGUUGAUGUAGGCGAAGGGCAUGCGAAAGGCCCGGCGUAGAGGGUAAGACCCCCGUAGCUGAAACAUUGACGGCUUGCUUGUGUAUUUCCCAAGUAGCACGGGGCCCGAGAAAUCCCGUGUGAAUCUGGCGGGACCACCCGCUAAGCCUAAAUAUUCCCUGGUGACCGAUAGCGGAUAGUACCGUGAGGGAAUGGUGAAAAGUACCGCGGGAGCGGAGUGAAAUAGUACCUGAAACCGUGUGCCUACAAGCCGUGGGAGCGUCGGAAUGAGACUUGUUCUUGUUCUCGUGACUGCGUGCCUUUUGAAGAAUGAGCCUGCGAGUUUGCGGUGUGUUGCGAGGUUAACCCGUGUGGGGUAGCCGUAGCGAAAGCGAGUCCGAAUAGGGCUAUUUAGUAGCACGCUCAAGACCCGAAGCGGAGUGAUCUAGCCAUGGGCAGGGUGAAGCGGAGGUAAGACUUCGUGGAGGCCCGAACCCACCAGGGUUGAAAACCUGGGGGAUGACCUGUGGUUAGGGGUGAAAGGCCAAUCAAACUCCGUGAUAGCUGGUUCUCCCCGAAAUGCAUUUAGGUGCAGCGUCGUGUGUUUCUUGCCGGAGGUAGAGCACUGGAUAGGCGAUGGGCCCUACCGGGUUACUGACCUUAGCCAAACUCCGAAUGCCGGUAAGUGAGAGCGCGGCAGUGAGACUGUGGGGGAUAAGCUCCAUGGUCGAGAGGGAAACAGCCCAGAGCAUCGACUAAGGCCCCUAAGCGUAUGCUAAGUGGGAAAGGAUGUGGAGUCGCACAGACAACCAGGAGGUUGGCUUAGAAGCAGCCACCCUUGAAAGAGUGCGUAAUAGCUCACUGGUCAAGUGAUUCCGCGCCGACAAUGUAGCGGGGCUCAAGUAUACCGCCGAAGUCGUGUCAUU
rnacentral:rRNA from 1 species